GAUGAACGCUAGCGGGAGGCCUAACACAUGCAAGCCGAGCGGUAUUGUUUCUUCGGAAAUGAGAGAGCGGCGUACGGGUGCGGAACACGUGUGCAACCUGCCUUUAUCUGGGGGAUAGCCUUUCGAAAGGAAGAUUAAUACUCCAUAAUAUAUUGAACGGCAUCGUUUAAUAUUGAAAGCUCCGGCGGAUAGAGAUGGGCACGCGCAAGAUUAGCUAGUUGGUGAGGUAACGGCUCACCAAGGCAAUGAUCUUUAGGGGCCUGAGAGGUGAUCCCCCACACUGGUACUGAGACACGGACCAGACUCCUACGGGAGGCAGCAGUGAGGAAUAUUGGUCAAUGGGUGCAAGCCUGAACCAGCCUAUCCCGCGUGAAGGACGACUGCCCUAUGGGUUGUAAACUUCUUUUGUAUAGGGAUAAACCUACUCUCGUGAGGGUAGCUGAAGGUACUAUACGAAUAAGCACCGGCUAACUCCGUGCCAGCAGCCGUC
rnacentral:rRNA from 1 species